rnacentral:rRNA from 1 species
UACGUAGGGUGCAAGCGUUAAUCGGAAUUACUGGGCGUAAAGCGUGCGCAGGCGGUGAUGUAAGACGGAUGUGAAAUCCCCGGGCUCAACCUGGGAACUGCAUUCGUGACUGCAUCGCUGGAGUGCGGCAGAGGGGGAUGGAAUUCCGCGUGUAGCAGUGAAAUGCGUAGAUAUGCGGAGGAACACCGAUGGCGAAGGCAAUCCCCUGGGCCUGCCCUGACGCUCAUGCC